rnacentral:rRNA from 1 species
AUUGAACGCUGGCGGCAGGCCUAACACAUGCAAGUCGAGCGGUAGCACAGAGAGCUUGCUCUCGGGUGACGAGCGGCGGACGGGUGAGUAAUGUCUGGGAAACUGCCUGAUGGAGGGGGAUAACUACUGGAAACGGUAGCUAAUACCGCAUAACGUCGCAAGACCAAAGUGGGGGACCUUCGGGCCUCAUGCCAUCAGAUGUGCCCAGAUGGGAUUAGCUAGUAGGUGGGGUAAUGGCUCACCUAGGCGACGAUCCCUAGCUGGUCUGAGAGGAUGACCAGCCACACUGGAACUGAGACACGGUCCAGACUCCUACGGGAGGCAGCAGUGGGGAAUAUUGCACAAUGGGCGCAAGCCUGAUGCAGCCAUGCCGCGUGUGUGAAGAAGGCCUUCGGGUUGUAAAGCACUUUCAGCGGGGAGGAAGGCGUUAAGGUUAAUAACCUUGGCGAUUGACGUUACCCGCAGAAGAAGCACCGGCUAACUCCGUGCCAGCAGCCGCGGUAAUACGGAGGGUGCAAGCGUUAAUCGGAAUUACUGGGCGUAAAGCGCACGCAGGCGGUCUGUCAAGUCGGAUGUGAAAUCCCCGGGCUCAACCUGGGAACUGCAUUCGAAACUGGCAGGCUAGAGUCUUGUAGAGGGGGGUAGAAUUCCAGGUGUAGCGGUGAAAUGCGUAGAGAUCUGGAGGAAUACCGGUGGCGAAGGCGGCCCCCUGGACAAAGACUGACGCUCAGGUGCGAAAGCGUGGGGAGCAAACAGGAUUAGAUACCCUGGUAGUCCACGCCGUAAACGAUGUCGAUUUGGAGGUUGUGCCCUUGAGGCGUGGCUUCCGGAGCUAACGCGUUAAAUCGACCGCCUGGGGAGUACGGCCGCAAGGUUAAAACUCAAAUGAAUUGACGGGGGCCCGCACAAGCGGUGGAGCAUGUGGUUUAAUUCGAUGCAACGCGAAGAACCUUACCUGGUCUUGACAUCCACAGAACUUUCCAGAGAUGGAUUGGUGCCUUCGGGAACUGUGAGACAGGUGCUGCAUGGCUGUCGUCAGCUCGUGUUGUGAAAUGUUGGGUUAAGUCCCGCAACGAGCGCAACCCUUAUCCUUUGUUGCCAGCGGUUAGGCCGGGAACUCAAAGGAGACUGCCAGUGAUAAACUGGAGGAAGGUGGGGAUGACGUCAAGUCAUCAUGGCCCUUACGACCAGGGCUACACACGUGCUACAAUGGCAUAUACAAAGAGAAGCGACCUCGCGAGAGCAAGCGGACCUCAUAAAGUAUGUCGUAGUCCGGAUUGGAGUCUGCAACUCGACUCCAUGAAGUCGGAAUCGCUAGUAAUCGUAGAUCAGAAUGCUACGGUGAAUACGUUCCCGGGCCUUGUACACACCGCCCGUCACACCAUGGGGGUGGGUUGCAAAAGAAGUAGGUAGCUUAACCUUCGGGAGGGCGCUUACCACUUUGUGAUUCAUGACUGGGGUGA